rnacentral:RNase_MRP_RNA from 1 species
AAGCACGGCUUCGCAGCGCGCAAACGGGGAGGUUCCCUGAGAUGCUGCGAGGAAAGUCCCCGUGCCUUGGUGCAGAGAGUGCGAGUGG